AGACUGACUAAAUCACUAUAUGUGAUGCUGUAUUGCAGGAGACCAGUGAAGAUCCAGUUGGAGUGGUGCUGAUCACACAGCUGGAGUGGUCUUUCAGCAGGGCUCUGAAGCAGUUUCCCGGUCCCAGCGGUCCCAGCACACAGCUGCUACCAGAGGCAGUCUUUCAUGGAUACAGGAGGAGUCUCUGAGCCGGUCUACAGUGUAGCGGAUUGGGUCAGACAUCCUGGUUCAAUAACAACAACAACAACAACAUCAUCAUCAUCAUCAUCAUCAUCAUCAUCAUCAAGCAGCAGCAGCAGCAGCAGCCGCAUCAGCAGCUGCAGCAGAAAAAGAUGACCAGGAACUGUUUAGCCUACAGUCAGCUGAAGUCGUAGAUUGAGUCAGAGGAGAUGACGAACAGGAAGUCAGCAGUGCAGCUUCCAACAGGUCGUCUGUGCAGGUUCUUUCAUCAACCCCUAAAGCAGGGCCCUGACAGCCCUCACGUACAUGACAGCUUCCCCGGGGUACCAGGGAAAUACAUCUACUGCCCCUCCAGAGUGUUCUCCCCCUACAAGGCACAGGGCAUGGGGAAGGAGAUGACCUGGGGGGAGUUCAAACUGUCAACCUCACAUAGUCUCUCAGCACCUUUACAUGCACUCUAGUGUUCCCUCUACGUGUGUAAAUGUGUAAUAUUUUAAUAAUAAAUUAUUCCGUAAAUGUAUACCCAUAUUUAGUUGUUAAUUUGUUUUAUAUAUAACAUUUGAAUUAUAUAAAUAAGCAAUGUGUCAA